rnacentral:rRNA from 1 species
UACGGGGGGAGCAAGCGUUGUUCGGAAUUACUGGGCGUAAAGAGCUCGUAGGCGGUGUGUCGCGUCGGCCGUGAAAACCUGCAGCUUAACUGUGGGCUUGCGGUCGAUACGGGCAUCACUGGAGUUCGGCAGGGGAGACUGGAAUUCCUGGUGUAGCGGUGAAAUGCGCAGAUAUCAGGAGGAACACCGGUGGCGAAGGCGGGUCUCUGGGCCGAUACUGACGCUGAGGAGCGAAAGCGUGGGGAGCGAACAGG